GCAGUCCAAUCUAUUUCGUUAUUGUCUGUCCAAUUCCAGGGGCAAAAUAGGUGGGGGGCUGGGGCAAGCGAGCACAGCAGAAUAAUUCGUGUAUUUUUAUCUGUUUCUCUAUUGUAUUGGUAUCGCUAUAUACCCACGUAUUUCAACGCGCAUGCAAACAUAAUUACUCAAAGAAAACGAUAAUUACUUGAACAAUGUAUAAACUUUUAUUUCUUUACAAAUAUCGUCGAAUUCAUUGAGCCUUUUGUGCGGUAAAACACUGUGGUGUAUUCACAGGCGACCCAAUCUCCGAAUGGUCUAUAUAUUUUGAAUAUUUAUACGGAAUAUUUAACUGUUAUAAUAUUUAAUAACGAAAUAAUUCAAAAAAUAUUAGCAGUAUAUGUACAAAAUAUAUAUAUAAAGGACUAACUUGUUAAUAGAAUGAAUUUGUUGUGUUUCUGAGUUUAGUUGAUGCGAUUGCUUUACGUUUUCGUCGUACUUGAACGGUCGUCAGUACUGGCACUGGCUACAUAGGACAUAAAUUAUGUCCCCCCCCCGUCGCCAAAAAAUUUCGGUCAGUGUACCAUUUUAGGGGUCAAAAAAAUUUUCCGGACAUACAAAAAUAUUUCGGAACCUAACAAAAAUUUUCGAAACAUCACAAAAUUGACCACAAAAUUUGUCCCAUUUAUUUUUAUAAUAAACCAAAAUUGCCCGACUGUUCAGCGAAUAUUGCCCGACUGCCCAGGGGGGGGGGGGGGCUGCCGCCCCCCGCCCGGUACGCCCAUGGCUGAGCUAAUCGACUCGCUUGGCAGCUAGCUCAGCAAGUUUCUCUUGUGUGCGGAUAGGUUUCGUGAGGAUUUGACCUCUCGAGGCCUUGAGGAAAAUAUCUAUCGUGUUUAAUAUUUUUCACCUCGCGAAGAAAAAGUCUCAGCGUCUGCAGAUGUGGUGAGCUUAGUGCUGAGCUGCUUGAAUCUAUUAGCCAAUGAGAAACCAUAGUAAUGAGAAACCAUAGUUUCUUCAUGUGACUUUGAACAAAAUGGAGGAAACUGCAAACGAUUUUGUCAAUUAUGUUGUUGCUGAGUAGUUUUCCCAACGUGUGCGGUAAAAAUACAUAGAUGAGCUAGCCACCACGCGAGGCGGUUAAGGCGGAUUUCCAUUCGGUGGAAAAAGUCGCGCGAUCGACUUUUUGCGAUCACUUUAUUUUCAAAUGCGUGUAGUCAACCUAAUCCGUUGCGCUUUUUGCUUGUAUUUCAAAAGAAAGUGGUCGCAAAAAGUCGAUCGCGCGACUUUUUCCACUGAAUGGAAAUCCGCCUUUAGUUCAGCAAGUUUCUAUCGUGUGGGCAGGCUUUAGAUAACUGUUUUGAUUCACUUUAAAGUUUAAGAACCUUGCAAAAACUGUUCAAAUUGGUCAUUUGUUGAGAAGUCAACUUUGAGCUGUCCGUCUGUCUUAACAAGAUCUUGCCAUUCACCGUCCACAAAUGUCUCCACUUAGCAAUUUUUUCCUGAUAAGUGUUAAUGAUCAUUAAUAUAGAUAUUUUCAGAUCAUGAAUAUUUUUACCAUAUUCAGAUGCAAUUAGCGGUACAUCUUUGGACUUUUUCCCAAUCAAUUUAUUUCAACUUUUGUAAAACGCCUCUUUCAUAUCCCUAUGAAAAAAACUUUACAAUACUACGAUUCUUCACCUUCUUCGUUGGUGGAAGGCGAUGGCUGUUGAGAUAUGAUCUUCGGUUACAUUUAGUCCAAUCAUUUCGCCUACUUGGGCUGCUAGUUGUUUGGGACUAUCUAAUAGCGGGGGUGGUAUAUCUGUAAUUUCGAUGCAGUCACGGCGUAAAUACUGUUGAACAUCAUCCAAAGCCACGUUGCUGUUAUACAAUUCAUUCUUGUUACGCUUUACUCUAUACCUUCAGGGCUUUCAAUGCUAGUCUCUUUAUAUAUGUGACUUCUUUCUUCGUCCUUUGCGGACUGCAGUGAGCUCGAGCGUUUGAAGUUAUCAUAUUCGUUCGAUAGGUACUUUUGAGAGCUUUCAAUUUCGUUGCACUUCCCUGCGACCGAUGUUAUGUUGGAUUUUAGAUCCUCGAUCUCUGAUCUAAGCCGUCUUUUUGUAUAUAAAUGGUAGAAGUUCUUUCACCCAUAACUCUUUUGUUGAAUCAAUAGUCAAAGAUUCAGGGUUAUUUCUUAAUUUCGGAAGCAUUUCAGUAGAGCUCUCAACACACGUCUUGCUUCGACGACGCUUGGGGGCCUAUUAUCAUACGUAUUAUCAUAUAGAGAAACAUAUCACUCGAUAAUAAAUUCGUUCGAAGAUCAAGUGCAUGUUUACAAGUGCAUGUUUUACAAGUGCAUGUUUUAGAAGUCCAUGUUUUACAGGUCCAUGUUUUACAGGUCCAUGUUUUACAAGUCUAUGUUUUACAGGUCCAUGUUUUACAAGUCCAUGUUUUACAGGUCCAUGUUUUACAAGUCUAUGUUUUACAGGUCCAUGUUUUACAGGUCCAUGUUUUACAGGUCCAUGUUUUACAAGUCCAUGUUUUACAGGUCCAUGUUUUACAAGUCCAUGUUUUACAAGUCCAUGUUUUACAGGUCCAUGUUUUACAAGUCCAUCAUGUUUUACAGGUCCAUCAUGUUUUACAAGUCCAUGUUUUACAAGUCCAUGUUUUACCAGUCCAUGUUUUACAGGUCCAUGUUUUACAAGUCCAUGUUUUACAGGUCCAUGUUUUACAAGUCCAUGUUUUACAGGUCCAUGUUUUACAGGUCCAUGUUUUACAAGUCUAUGUUUUACAGGUCCAUGUUUUACAGGUCCAUCAUGUUUUACAAGUCCAUGUUUUACAGGUCCAUGUUUUACAAGUCCAUGUUUUACAGGUCCAUGUUUUACAGGUCCAUCAUGUUUUACAGGUCCAUCAUGUUUUACAGGUCCAUCAUGUUUUACAAGUCCAUGUUUUACAGGUCCAUCAUGUUUUACAAGUCCAUGUUUUACAAGUCCAUGUUUUACAAGUCCAUGUUUUACAAGUCCAUGUUUUACCAGUCCAUGUUUUACAAGUCCAUGUUUUACAAGUCCAUGUUUUACAAGCCCAUGUUUUACAAGUCCAUGUUUUACAAGUCCAUGUUUUACAAGUCCAUGUUUUACAGGUCCAUGUUUUACAAGUCCAGUCCAGAGUUUGCAAGUCCAGUCCAGUCCAGUCCAAGGUGCAGCCCAUGUUUUGCAAACAUGCCAUAUUUAGCUAGAAUUGCAUGCACAUGCUCAUUUCCCAAACUGGUUUGACUUGUUUCGCGUUUCUUUUGCAUCACGAGUAAUUCUUAGAUUUCAUGGCGCACUGUAUCCCGACACGAAGACAAUUAUAUUAUUAAUUAAUAAUAUUAAUUUGAUAAUUCAAAUAUAGCCCUUAAUGUAUGGAGGAAUAUUCUAACCAUUGAAGAUGCAUUAGAACUGAGAUAAUAGUUAACCUGCACCGAAAAACGACGCGAAUGAAUAUGCAAGUAUAUUGAAAUCCCGAAAACUGAUUGGUUUGCAUAUUUAAAACCAAAGUGAACAAACGAGUGAACGAAUGACAAGUUAGUAUGAGCCGAUCUAUGGGAGAUACGUUACAACCCAUACGAUGCAACCUACUGCCAAAUCGGGCAUGUCUUGUUACGCUUUGUCAAGCUCAAACACAAAUUUCUUGCGAGUUUUUCUGUUACCUUUUAGGCUAACGUCUAUGACAUUCGUCAAUGCAUAUCAUGAUUAUUAUACUAUUAGUCGUUGAUCGUCUAUGACUAUGGUCAUGCAUAUAAACAGCUACGAAUUGAACAUGCUUAAUUAACAAUGUUUCGCAUUCGAAUGAAUUCAAAUGAUUCGUAUGUGUGCCUGCCAAAUAUUGCAGGAAUGCUGCUGCCUUUGGUCAUUUCAAUGUGCUAAACAACUAUUGAACAUAUCAUAAAUUAAAAUGUCAUCUUUACUCAAGCUAACGAGUACCUUAUAACGCUAAGUUUGAAAGGCAUGCAAACUCUCAAAGCAUGCACUGAAAACGAAUUCUAUAUGGCUAGACAGUCCACAUCGUGUGUUUCAGCCAGCGCAUGUUAUCGUUCUCCGAUCCCUAAAGGCGGUUUUCCAGUCCUCGCACGAAGCUCCUCGCAGCCCGCUGCGAGUGCUUGCAUCUAAUUAAAAUUAACUGUUUAGCAUUGUGAUUGGAUGAAAGUGCUCCUGCAUCACUCGCAGCGAGCUGCGAGGAGCUUUGCGCGAGGACUGGAAAUCCGCCUUAAGACAGUUUCAAACAAUAAAUGCCAUGGCGAAAACAACAUUUUAAUAUUUCUCCUGUUUGUUACGAUACGUGGACUACGCUUCCAAGCCACAGUUUUGCCUCACAACCAGAAGCCCAAAUUUACCAUAGCCAACUAAGUACUUCAAUUAAUCACAAAUGCAUACGCAUACGAAAUUGUAUUUUGUUUAUAUACAUACUCAUGCAAAUUGCUUCAUAAGAGAAAUAUUUUUGAAAAGCGG
rnacentral:lncRNA from 1 species